CUCCUAUAAAACAGACAAGAAGCUACUGUAGAAGAACACAGCAGGAAGUUUCCACUCAUUCUGAGGUUGUAAGGAUAAUGGGAAACCCUUGCUUAGUUUUAGUGACUGAUUCCUUAACAAGACUGAAUUGGAGUACGCUGAAACUACAGUUACUUCAUGCUGCAUAAAAGAUGGUGACCACAAUAGGUUACUUCACUGAUGACCAUGGCUGAAAGGAAAUGUGGACUUCCAGCACCCUUCUCUUUCUGUGCAACACACUCUUAUCAGGAAAUAAAUGUAUCUUCAAAGACAAUUCACAGAACAAUUUCAAAAUACACAUGUCAACUCUGAAAGGACCACACUUUUUAGCAUAUGCAUACACAAUUUGGUGAUAUUAAUGCCACUAAUUUUUCUGAAAUUUGUUGAACUGAGGUAGAAUGACAAACAUGGCAGUGGCCUCCAGGUGAUGCAGACCCGAGACUGGCCGAGCACGAUCCAUGCCCCAUGGGCAAGAACUACUGUGCCUCCUCACUGUGUGGCCUGCACACAUCCGUCUUUUGCCGUCGUGUCAACAUGGUAACAUCGCUGUAAAUUUUACUAUUGAUAAUUUUCAGUUCAUGGUCUGCCUUCUUCUUCCUAGCCACGUCUUCUUCACUGCACGGUCUGGAUGAUGUUGCAGUAUCUUCCAAAAUCGAUUCUGGGCAGUCUGGCAGACUGAUAUCAACUACAUUAUUUAAGGACUUUGCCCAACCUUCGCCAUAAUUCUCUCGACAUUUCUCUACAGUUUUUUCAAGGGGCUUUUUCUUCCAAAGUCCUUUCAAAUACUGACGAACUUGUGCUGAAGCUGAAGGAAACACAUUAUUUUUUGUUGCUACUCCAGGGAUUUCAGUCUCCUUUGAUACUGAAAGAAGAAGUUACAGAAGUGAGUCGACAACUACUCUCCUUUACACAGACAAGAUACAAAAUUACAACAAUAAAAAAAAGUACAAAAUAUAA